GAGCGGCGCAAGGGAGAGUACGCGUGGAUACCUGCCCCGAGGUCGGGAUAGCCCAUCGAAAGGUGGGGUAUACCGGAUAACAUCUCCGGAUCAAAGGUGUGAUUCCGCCUCGGGAUGGGUCCGCGUCCUAUUAGCUUGUUGGUGGGGUAAUGGCCUACCAAGGCAACGAUGGGUAGUGGGCGUUAGCGCGUGGCCCGCCUCACUGGGACUGAGACACUGCCCAGACACCUACGGGUGGCUGCAGUCGAGAAUCUUCGGCAAUGGGCGCAAGCCUGACCGAGCGACGCCGCGUGCGGGAUGAAGGCCUUCGGGUUGUAAACCGCUGUCAGAGGGGAGGAAGGGUCCGUGAAGAGCGGAACUUGACCUAUCCUCAGAGGAAGUGCGGGCUAAGUUCGUGCCAGCAGCCGCGGUAAGACGAACCGCACAAACGUUAUUCGGAAUCACUGGGCUUAAAGGGUGCGUAGGCGGCCGUUCAAGUCGGGUGUGAAAGCCCUCAGCUUAACUGAGGAAUUGCGCCCGAUACUGUUCGGCUUGAGGGAGACAGAGGUGAGCGGAACUUGCGGUGGAGCGGUGAAAUGCGUUGAUAUCGCAAGGAACACCAGUAGCGAAAGCGGCUCACUGAGUCUCUCCUGACGCUGAGGCACGAAAGCUAGGGUAGCGAAGAGGAUUAGAUACCCUCGUAGUCCUAGCUGUAAACGCUGAGCACUGGAUUGGAGGGUCCUCCAUAGCCUUCCGGUCGUAGCGAAAGUGUUAAGUGCUCCGCCUGGGGAGUAUGGUCGCAAGGCUGAGACUCAAAGGAAUUGACGGGGGCUCACACAAGCGCUGGAGGAUGUGGCUUAAUUCGAGGCUACGCGAAGAACCUUAUCCUGGAUUUGACAUGCUUGGGAAUCCCCUGGAAACAGGGGAGUGCCCCUCGGGGAGCCCUUGCACAGGUGCUGCAUGGCUGUCGUCAGCUCGUGUCGUGAGAUGUCGGGUUAAGUCCCUUAACGAGCGAAACCCUUGUCGUUAGUUGCCAGCGGGUCAUGCCGGGGACUCUAACGAGACUGCCGGUGUUAAACCGGAGGAAGGUGGGGAUGACGUCAAGUCCUCAUGGCCUUUAUGUCCAGGCCUUCUCACUUUACACAAUACAGCGUACAAAGGGAAGCAAACUCGCGAGAGUAAGCAAAUCCCACAAAAGCAGCGCCCCAGUUCGAAUUGCAGGCUGCAACUCGCCUGCAUGAAGCCGGAAUCGCUAGUAAUCGCGGGUCAGCAUACCGCGGUGAAUGUGUUCCUGAGC
rnacentral:rRNA from 1 species